rnacentral:rRNA from 1 species
CAGAACGAACGCUGGCGGCAAGCUUAACACAUGCAAGUCGAACGGAUUGUUAUCAUAGCUUGCUAUGAUAACAAUUAGUGGCAGACGGGUGAGUAAUGCAUAGGAAUCUACCUAGUAGUAUGGGAUAGCCACUAGAAAUGGUGGGUAAUACUGUAUAAUCCCUGCGGGGGAAAGAUUUAUCGCUAUUAGAUGAGCCUAUGUUAGAUUAGCUAGUUGGUAGGGUAAAGGCCUACCAAGGCAGUGAUCUAUAGCUGGUCUGAGAGGAUGAUCAGCCACACUGGAACUGAGAUACGGUCCAGRCUCCUACGGGAGGCAGCAGUGGGGAAUAUUGGACRAUGGGCGCAAGCCUGAUCCAGCUAUGCCGC